rnacentral:misc_RNA from 1 species
CACCCCUCAAGCUCUCUUGCUUGGUGUUGGGGUUCUGCGGCUUCGGCCGCAGGCCCUGAAAAACAGUGGCGGGCUCGCUAUAACUCCGAGCGUAGUAAUCUCUCUCGCUUUGGAAGUAUGGCGGUCCCCGGCCGUUAAACCCCCCAAUUUCUGAA